rnacentral:rRNA from 1 species
UACAGAGGGUGCGAGCGUUGUCCGGAAUCACUGGGCGUAAAGGGCGCGUAGGCGGCCCGACAAGUCCGUGGUGAAAGCUCGACGCUCAACCUCGAGUCGGCCAUGGAUACUGUUGGGCUGGAGCACUGUAGAGGCUCAUGGAAUUCCGGGUGUAGCGGUGGAAUGCGUAGAGAUCCGGAAGAACACCAGUGGCGAAGGCGGUGAGCUGGGCAGUUGCUGACACUGAGGCGCGACAGCGUGGGGAGCAAACAGG